rnacentral:rRNA from 1 species
ACAGUGGACGCGAGCAUCUUUGUGGCUCAAGUUUUUAAGGGCACACGGUGGAUGCCUUGGCACCAGGAACCGAAGAAGGACGUAGGAAUCUGCGAUAAGCCUCGGGGAGUCGAUAACCAGACUGUGAUCCGAGGAUUUCCGAAUGGGGAAACCCGGCUGGAGGCAAGUCCAGUCACUCCCGCCUGAACACAUAGGGCGGGUAGAGGGAACGUGGGGAAGUGAAACAUCUCAGUACCCACAGGAAGAGAAAGCAACCGCGAUUCCGUGAGUAGUGGCGAGCGAAAGCGGAAGAGGCUAAACCUCAGUUGUGUGAUACCUGUCAGGGGUUGCAGCUGGGGGGUCGUGGGACUUUUCGGUCAGUGCUGACACGCUG